AUUGGUGCUGUUACUGCACUAAGUCCAGAUGAACACAUUACUGGAAUUUUGAUAGCUCUCGAAAUCGAAUAGGCUGCGGCCAAGGUUGGUGUUGCCUUCUCAAUCAGACCAAGAACACCAGAUUCUGAAGGAUUAGAACAUUUUCCUCCUUCAGUCUGUAUAAUGUCAGCACCUUCCUGUUCCAAAAGCUCUGCAAGCUUGAC
rnacentral:misc_RNA from 1 species